AACGCGAAGAACCUUACCUGGGUUUGACAUACACCAGACGCCGGCAGAGAUGUNNCGGUUCCCUUGUGGCUGGUGUACAGGUGGUGCAUGGCUGUCGUCAGCUCGUGUCGUGAGAUGUUGGGUUAAGUCCCGCAACGAGCGCAACCCUUGUCCUGUAUUGCCAGCACGUAAUGGUGGGGACUUGCAGGAGACUGCCGGGGUCAACUCGGAGGAAGGUGGGGAUGACGUCAAGUCAUCAUGCCCCUUAUGUCCAGGGCUUCACACAUGCUACAAUGGCGCGUACAGAGGGCUGCGAGACCGUGAGGUGGAGCGAAUCCCUUAAAGCGCGUCUCAGUUCGGAUUGGGGUCUGCAACUCGACCCCAUGAAGUCGGAGUCGCUAGUAAUCGCAGAUCAGCAACGCUGCGGUGAAUACGUUCCCGGGUCUUGUACACACCG
rnacentral:rRNA from 1 species